UCGAGAUUAUUCACUUUCCCUUUCAACUAAAACCCUCAUUCCACAUUUCCACUCAUAGUGAUCAGAUAAUCGUUUUCACAGUUUUACUGAGCAAUUUAUAAGAAAUGAACUCCCUUCGUCACUUUCAAUUCUUCAUCAUCUUCUCUCUAGCAUCCAUCGCAAUUUCUUUCUCUCUUCCUUUCCAGGUUACCGAUCAGCUUCAGUAUGAUAACUCACAACUGACCUCAUCAGAAUUCUCAACUUCACUUGAAACUCUUCAAAAAAAGAAUCGGUUAUGAGUUCAAGAACGUUAAUCUCCUACGAAGAGCAAUGACACAUGCCUCAUACUCUGGAGAAAACAACAAAGCAUUAAGUGAUUUAGGAUUAGAUGUAAUCAAGACUUCAAUUGCUCUCAACUGUUUGAAAAAAGACAUUGAUAUCUCUGUUAGAGAUCUAAACAGGUAGAUUACAAAGGUAACUGCAGUGAAUACUUGUGCAAUUGAAGGAACAAGGUUAGGACUACAGAAUAUAAUUAGGGUUCAUAUGAAAGGGAAUUCUUCAGCUCCACCAGUUGUUUGUAGUGGUUUUCGGGGUUUGUUUGGUGCAAUUGCUGUUGAUACAGGUAAAGCUGAUGAUGCUGGGAAUGUGUUCUGGAAUGUUCAUCGUGGGAUUUCUAGUACUUUCAUAUUCUGAUUUUGUGGAUUUUGGUGUCGCAGUGAAGAUUUAGUAAGUAAAUAGGUUCUUCGUCAGUCUAGAAUUUGCAAAACUUAUCUAUGAACUAGUUUAAUCGAUGAACAUUUAGGUGUCACGAAUUUUAAAUGAGUGAUAAUGUUUUCCUUGGUAUUUCAGUGAUGUUCUGUUUUUAUUCCGAAACAAGUUUAUUGUUAAAUAGCACUAAUUAUCACAUCAA